rnacentral:lncRNA from 1 species
AUCAAAUUCUUGAUAAGUAGUUAAUGUGGUCUUGUUUGAAACAGGAAAGUCGAUAGUUGCAGGUACCAUGGGAGCAUUGGCCACGAAAUGGUGCCCAGAAACCGGAUUCUGGGGGUGGUGUAGAAAAAAAUCAGCGGUAUUUAGACCAAAAAAAGAAGAGGAAGCCUGAAAAGAUGGUGAAAUCUGUGGAAAAUUGCUGGAAGAAAACAUUUUGGGGGAAAGACUAGAAUCGUAAAGCCUAUUCUUUUUCAAAGGAUCAAGAUAACUGCAAAAGAAAUAAUUCUUGAAAGGAUUUAUUUCUGGAAUCUCUACGGGAAUUGAGGAUUCUUUUCAUAGAGAAAUUAAAGGAUUGUUGAAAAACCUAACAGUGUCCAGUAAAAAGAUCUAACAGGAGUGAGAAAGAUCUACAUUCACUUGGGCGUGUCGAAGAAGAUAUAAUUGAGAUUGGGGGAAAGGUGGAGUACUUGUCUUUUUCCAGUUGCAACAUUGGUUGUUUGCUUUAUAAACAAGGUUG